rnacentral:rRNA from 1 species
UACGUAGGGUGCAAGCGUUAAUCGGAAUACUGGGCGUAAAGCGUGCGCAGGCGGUUUUGUAAGUCAGAUGUGAAAUCCCCGGGCUUAACCUGGGAACUGCGUUUGAAACUACAAGGCUAGAGUGUGGCAGAGGGGGUGGAAUUCCACGUGUAGCAGUGAAAUGCGUAGAGAUGUGGAGGAACACCGAUGGCGAAGGCAGCCCCCUGGGUUAACACUGACGCUCAGGCACGAAAGCGUGGGGAGCAAACAGG